CUCUUUGCGCAGUGGCAGUAUCGUAGCCAAUGAGGUUUAUCCGAGGCACGAUUAUUGCUAAUUGAAAGUUGUUUCUCUGAUAAUUCAGGACAAUGAGGUAGCUAUAAGUGAAAAUUUUUCAUAAUACUUAUUUGGA